rnacentral:RNase_P_RNA from 1 species
AAAGCAGAUCGCCUUAUCGCUUUUUAAUAUUAAAAAGAGGAAAGUCCGAACACCGCAGUGCAGCAUAGUGGUUAACAACCAUCAAUCGUGAGAUUAGGACUAGUGCAACAGAAAGCAAGUACAGGUCAAGCUGUAGUGAAAUCAGGUAAACUCUAUGCGGUGCAAUGCCAAGUAAAUCAGCAUUUGAGUACUGCACGUACGAUGUUGAAGGGUAGGCAGCUAAAGUUUAUUGGUAACAAUAAAUGUAGAUAAAUGAUAAGGGCCUUUAUGGAACAGAAUUCGGCUUACAGAUCUGCUUUUUUU